UUUCAUCCUAUCUCUGCACUUCUUUUGUAUCGUAAGCGAUCAUAGUAGAACAGCACCCUGUGGAAUAGGGGUGUUACAGUUUUUCCCAAUU